GAUGAACGCUGGCGGCGUGCCUAAUACAUGCAAGUCGAGCGAACAGACGAGGAGCUUGCUCCUCUGACGUUAGCGGCGGACGGGUGAGUAACACGUGGAUAACCUACCUAUAAGACUGGGAUAACUUCGGGAAACCGGAGCUAAUACCGGAUAAUAUAUUGAACCGCAUGGUUCAAUAGUGAAAGACGGUUUUGCUGUCACUUAUAGAUGGAUCCGCGCCGCAUUAGCUAGUUGGUAAGGUAACGGCUUACCAAGGCGACGAUGCGUAGCCGACCUGAGAGGGGGAACGGGCACAAUUGAAACGAGACAAGGUCCAGAAUCCUAAGGGAGACAACAAGAGGGAAACUUCCGCAAAGGGCGGAAGGCUGAAGGAGCAAAGGCGCGGGAGUGAUGAAGGGUUUCGGAUCGGAAAAAUCUGUUAUUAGGGAAGAACAAAUGUGUAAGUAACUAUGCACGUCUUGACGGUACCUAAUCAGAAAGCCACGGCUAACUACGUG
rnacentral:rRNA from 1 species